rnacentral:sRNA from 2 species
CGAAUUGUCAAAGGGGAGUAGCGUUAGAUGUGUUAUACAUCUAAAACAAAGUCGUCAUUCCAUGGAUGAAUUCCAUCGGCUUUGUUGGCAUAAUUUAUGUC